UCAAUGCAUCUGAAAAAAUUUUGGAUCUGAAAACGAGCAUUCUUGACUGUGCGUUUUUGAGAGAAAUUAAAAAUUUAUUUGUGAAGCACGAAUGUUAAUUAUCAAUCAAUAAAAGUUUUCUCAAAAAUAGUCUCAAAAAAGAGUUUCAUGUAUUCAAUCGGAUAUUUGAGAGUGAACAUUUUUUAUAUUUAUUUCUGACUAUGUGAAAUGUCACAUUGCUUCUCAUCUCUCGCAAGCUACAUUUACUUUGAAUCUUAUAACCUCGGGCAAUGUGCUCUACUCUUGAUAUUUCAAACAAAUUAAUCGACUGAUAUUUGAUUUCGAUUCGUGAGUGAAACAUAUGAACGUCGCGAGUGACAUAUGUGUGUAUGUGUGUUGGAAUUAUCGACGUUUUAUUCUUCGAUGGCUCAAAGAGAAAAAACACAGUAACUCGAAUUCAAAGUUACAUACCUCGAUGGACAUGUAGCAUUCCGCUCCCCAAUCCUGGUGACGAUUCACGCGCGGUGUUCUUCUUAAGCAAAUAAUGAUAAUUCAUGAGUGGGACUCACCUUUGGCUAACUGAAAUCGUGGGAAAUAACUUGUGAAUCUACACUCUGGCGUUUUAAUUACUGCACUUUACAACUCUCGGCGAGUCACUGCACUUGGAUCACUGGACAAAUCACUACGCGCACGACGCUCGAGAAUUCCCUAGUUAUGGUGACACUCGUUGUGUUCAUUACAAGACGUUUGUUUCAUCGCAUCGGAAAAACGAAGUAGUGCGAACAAAGUGAAUCAAGUGCAACGUAAAAGUCUCCAACGAAACAAUCGCUUCAAGACUCGGCAGUCUUUUUGUUCUUCUCAAAGUAUGUCUGUACCUUUAUUUACUGAUCUUUAAAAUUGUUUAUAGACCUUUGUUGGACAAUCAUUGAAUAAUCCGCAAUUGCUUUCUGUUCUCAACAUUCACUAUGAUCAAUAUUUAGUUGCACCAAAAGAGAGAGAAAAGCAACACAUACUAAGUAAAGUGC